UUUUAGAGUUAUACCGGCCGAACAAUAUUUAGCUGAAUUUUCAUCGGACCGGAGACAUAUGCGAAGACCAGACACCACAUGGAUCAAACCUCCGCCACCAUAUCCACCGAUUCAGUCAAGUGCAAACACCCACAAUUUGGAUGACUUCAUUUGUACACAGCCGGGAAAAGGGCCCGGCAUUGUUUAUAGUCUAAUGGAAUUCGUUUCAACGUUUUAUAAACCAUUGAGCAGCACAAAAAAUGGAGUGGGGGACAAGGAAUAAAACCCCGGACAGACUUAACAUUGCCACAUAAAAGAAAAAAAAUUAAGAAACUUGCUGUCCAUCCGGGGCCUUAUUGACCGCUAUCCAAAUAAAAAAAAA